rnacentral:rRNA from 1 species
GAUGAACGCUGGCGGCGUGCCUAAUACAUGCAAGUCGAGCGAACGGACGAGAAGCUUGCUUCUCUGAUGUUAGCGGCGGACGGGUGAGUAACACGUGGAUAACCUACCUAUAAGACUGGGAUAACUUCGGGAAACCGGAGCUAAUACCGGAUGAUAUUUUGCACCGCAUGGUUCAAAAGUGAAAGACGGUCUUGCUGUCACUUAUAGAUGGAUCCGCGCUGCAUUAGCUGGUUGGUAAGGUAACGGCUUACCAAGGCAACGAUGCAUAGCCGACCUGAGAGGGUGAUCGGCCACACUGGAACUGAGACACGGUCCAGACUCCUACGGGAGGCAGCAGUAGGGAAUCUUCCGCAAUGGGCGAAAGCCUGACGGAGCAACGCCGCGUGAGUGAUGAAGGUCUUCGGAUCGUAAAACUCUGUUAUUAGGGAAGAACAUAUGUGUAAGUAACUGUGCACAUCUUGACGGUACCUAAUCAGAAAGCCACGGCUAACUACGUG